AGGCCCAGGAAAGGGAGAGAGAGGCCAAGCAACGCUGCGGCUGAGACCUCUGACCAUGAAUUUUCAGGAAAACGUGACCCUGGCCAUAGCCGUAUUCACCAUCCUCACCUCCAUCUACUUCUUCAACAAGGCUCAGCAAUGAGAAGACACAGAACCCCUAAUCCAAGAGCCCUGCCUCUGUCCUGACCGUGACUCUGGCCUCUGAGACCAAAUAAAUGUGACUGAAUCAGCGCACCCUGCUCCACCCCACCACCCCGGCA